CGAAAAAUAGUUGAAUUACUUAAAAUAGAGUUAAAUAUUAAGAUUGGAAAAGUUUACUGUUAAACAAAGUCAAAAACAAAAUGAGCUUAGAGACGCUUUAACACACAGCUAACGCAAGAAAAAAUAACUGAAUACUUAAAAAUAGAGGUAAAUAUUUAAGACUGGAAAAAAAGUAACUGUAAACCAAAGUCAAAAGUAAAAUGAGGUUAUAAAUGUUCUAAACACAGUUAACGCAAGAAGAAGGAAAACUGAUCACGUUUGCAUUAUCUAGCAAUUUUAAUUUUUUUGUAAAACCUCAAUUGUUUCAGAGAUAUAUUGUACGAACAUUCGUUUGAAACCUAACUAGUGAAAUAGAUAAUGUAUAUUAAAAAGUAGAUAGCGGCGCAUGAGGAGCAACUUUCAUGGGAGUUGAUUGAAGAGAUUGAUAUUAUUCUCUCGUGUCUGCUUCAGAGUUGUUUGCAAACGAUGCACAAGACGUUCAUCGAUAACCAUACGGAAACGUUUUAAUUCAUCAUAACAACGGAAUCCAAGAAUUAUUCGGCACCUAGAAACAAGCAACGAGUACACUACAAAGAUGAACAAAAGCAACAAAGAAACAAAAAUUUAGCUGCACGUAUAUAUACAGAAAACAUGCAAGUAACAACAAAUGAAAACACUACAAAGAUGACAGAAAGCAACAAACAAACAAGAAGCUAGCUGCUUCAUAUACAGAACCUGUCAUGUGAUACUAAGAACUUACAGCUAGUUAAAGUACUCAAUAGAGAAAGAAGAAGUUUCUUGAGGCAUAAAAGACUAACCAGCAGAGCAGUUAUCCAAAUACUUACACAGGAAAAUGCAAGUAACACAACACUCUAAAGAUGGCAAAAUCAAUACAUUUCAUAGAAAUCAUGGAAUAUUUGUUGUUAAUCUCAAGCUAUAAAAUAAAACCUUACAGAGCUAUAAUAUUUUUCCUGAAGAAGAAAAAGAACUUAGCAGCUCAUCUGUCGUGUUUUUAUUAAUUCUCUGUGGGCCUUUUGUUCGUCGUGAAAAUUAUGAUGGGCUUGAGCCAACUUGUUUGUGUUUUGCCGUCCACUCUACUUCGAUUUUAGCAUUCAUUCCAUUCCAAAACAUCAAAAGAUUCAAAACUAUAGUAUUUGUUACCAAUGGAUAUAAAUUAUGUUAAGGAAGAUAUAUACAACAUACAAAUAAAUGGGAUUAUGGGAGACUACAUGUGCAUUUCUCGAAUGCUAAGGUGUGUAAUUAGUGUGAAAUGUAAAUAUAUACUAUCUUAGAAAGUGUUUCGUGAAUAAACACACAAUUCAAACUAAAAACUAAAGUUAUAU
rnacentral:lncRNA from 1 species